rnacentral:misc_RNA from 1 species
UUGACUUAUUAAAAUAAGACGCUCAGAUAACAAUAAAAUAACAAUAGUUUAGAAGUCCACCGGCAAAACACUACAGGGUAACCGUUACAGGGUAGCUACAGGGUAGCUGCUCCGAAAUGGUUACAGGGUAGGCUCUGCCGAGGCAACAAUGGUAAGUUCACAUGGGUUUGGGAGUUAGAUAACUCUGUAAUGAUCCCUCCGCUGGUUCACCAACGGAGA